UACAGAGGUCUCAAGCGUUGUUCGGAUUCAUUGGGCGUAAAGGGUGCGUAGGCGGCGCGGUAAGUCGGGUGUGAAAUCUCGGGGCUUAACUCCGAAACUGCAUUCGAUACUGCCGUGCUUGAGGACUGGAGAGGAGACUGGAAUUUACGGUGUAGCGGUGAAAUGCGUAGAUAUCGUAAGGAAGACCAGUGGCGAAGGCGGCCAGCUGGGCCAGGUCCGACACUGGAGGCGCGAAAGCCGUGGGGAGCAAACAGG
rnacentral:rRNA from 1 species